GUGAAGCGUAGGUGGUGGAGGGUGGUACAUCGAUAGAGGUGUACAGAGACAGGUAGAAUCGAUUCCAUGGAACGCUAUGGCAACCGAAGCCUUGCAUCGUGCGCCAGUCGAUACGGUUUCAACAAUUGCUCGAAUACUUUAGGCACAAGCUGUAUGUAACGUUAUUUCAGUGCAAAGGGUUAAAAUAUAAUAGAAAAGGAAGAGAAUCCAGGUGCUAAGGAGGAGGAUGGCAAAGCCAAGAAAGCAAGAAGCUCUAUGCGCCUGACUGUUCCAUAGAUAUACACAAAGAGUGAACUUUGCCAGUGCGCAUACUCGUCUACAGAGAGCUUUGUAAUUAUUGCAAGUGUUUAUUGUAGAGAAUAAGCGGUGCGACCGGGUUUGUCGUGGUAAAUGUGUAACCUGGAAAAAGGACCUUUCGAGGAGACGAUAUGCAGAGACUUUGGAAAAUCUGUAGAUCUUCUUCGUGCAAGCUUGAAAGCGGUAAAGCGUUUCCAACGAGAAGGAAGCGUCGACGCACAGCGAGCGAGCAACCAUCGACUUACCAAUCCCCUCGGCUACCUCGAGAUAAUCGAAAUUCAUCGAUCCCUAGAGACCACUUUUCGCUCUUCUUUUUAGUUUCCUGGGAGGAAAUAUCGAUAACCACGUAUUUCUCGAAUAAUUAAAUGAACUUUUUCUCCUGCAACAUUUUUCUUUUAGUUUAUGGAAAAGUUUAUAGAAAAUUCGUGUAGAAACUCUUCUGAAGAAAACCAUGCGUCAUCCAUAGUUUGAUAAAUAAUUAUUAUUUGUACUAAAAGUUAUUUUCGCAAAUGAAAACACGAAGUCUCAAUUGUACAACUUUUUCGCGAUGGUACUGAUUUAAGCUAGUGUAUAUUGAUACUAAAAGCCAUAUACCAGUCGAAACGCAUUCUUUUAUUACUAAAACAAUAACAUUUUGUGAUUCACAAACAUCGCUUCGCUUUUAUAGCUAAUAAAUUUAUAUGACGCUCAUAAAAAUGAUAGUAUUCGUUAAACGCGAUUAUUUUAAUGUUUGUCUUGGAAUAUAAAUCGCGCUAAAACGUUCAAAUUUCAUAAGAGUACAGAGAAAAAAAGAAAACAUGAAAGUUUCGAGAAGCCUGACAAGUGCAGCAAUUGCUCUGAUAAGCAUGUUCACUUAUUUAGCAGUAGCCAUGGCUGCUCCAAAUCCAGAUCCUGCACUAAAUCCGAAAGUUAUAGCAUCUUUGGUCGGCAAAUAAAUGAGGAAAGGACAUCGUGGAAAUGUUUUGCAGGUU